GUGAUUUUAAUGGGGUAGAGAAUAGGGGCAGGGAACUUCAAUUCCCUAAAAAUCUGUGAGUAUAUUUUUCCCACUAAUGACUACUGUUUUCUAUUCUAAUACACAUAGGACUAGUAUGUUUGAAAAAUACUAACUAGGACGACCCUACCCUACUAAAAUUCAGAUCAUUCAUUUUCCUUGCUGCAAGGAAGAAAGUGAAAGCUGCCCUCCCCAAAACACCUCUAAUUUGCAACAUUAAUACCUCUAAUUAAUUAAUUUUCAAAAGGGAACGAAGCA
rnacentral:lncRNA from 1 species